rnacentral:rRNA from 1 species
GUGGGGAAUUUUGGACAAUGGGCGAAAGCCUGAUCCAGCCAUGCCGCGUGUGUGAAGAAGGUCUUCGGAUUGUAAAGCACUUUAAGUUGGGAGGAAGGGCAGUAAGUUAAUACCUUGCUGUUUUUACGUUACCGACAGAAUAAGCACCGGCUAACUUCGUGCCAGCAGCCGCGGUAAUACGAAGGGUGCAAGCGUUAAUCGGAAUUACUGGGCGUAAAGCGCGCGUAGGUGGUUCGUUAAGUUGGAUGUGAAAGCCCCGGGCUCAACCUGGGAACUGCAUCCAAAACUGGCGAGCUAGAGUACGGUAGAGGGUGGUGGAAUUUCCUGUGUAGCGGUGAAAUGCGUAGAUAUAGGAAGGAACACCAGUGGCGAAGGCGACCACCUGGACUGAUACUGACACUGAGGUGCGAAAGCGUGGGGAGCAAACAGGAUUAGAUACCCCUGUAGUCC